rnacentral:rRNA from 1 species
AUCGCAGGCUGCAACCCGCCCUGCGUGAAGUUGGAAUUGCUAGUAAUCGCGGAUCAGCAUGCCGCGGUGAAUACGUUCCCGGGCCUUGUACACACCGCCCGUCACACCAUGGGAGCCGGUAAUACCCGAAGUCAGUAGCCUAACCGCAAGGGGGGGCGCUGCCGAAGGUAGGAUUGGCGACUGGGGUGAAGUCGUAACAAGGUACC